UAAUACCGGAUAGGCAAUUUUUCCUGUAAUGGUUUUUUGUUUAAAUGUUUUUUCGCCUAAGGAUGGGUCUGCGGCCGAUUAGGUAAUUGGUUAGGUAAUGGCUUACCAAGCCGUUGAUCGGUACGGGUUGUGAGAGCAAGAGCCCGGAGAUGGAACCUGAGACAAGGUUCCAGGCCCUACGGGGUGCAGCAGGCGCGAAACCUCCGCAAUGUGAGAAAUCGCGACGGGGGGAUCCCAAGUGCCAUUCUUAACGGGAUGGCUUUUCA
rnacentral:rRNA from 1 species